GAUCUCACAGUCACCGUAAAGAGAGAGAGAUCUCAUUAUCACUGGUAGAUGCAGAACAGAUGGACUGUGGGCAGACGGACGCGCGCAGGUUCCCGGACAUACGCACCAACGCAAGAAUGUAAGCAGCAUAUAUGCAGGUGUGAAUAACGUGUGAUGAUCCCACAGUCACCUUAAGAGACAUCUCAUUAUCACUGGUGGAUGUAGAACAGACAGACUGUGGGCAGAUAGACGCAGUUGCACGCAGGUUCCCGGACACACACACCAACGCAUGCAUGUAAGCAGCGCAUAUGCAGUUAGGAUUCUCGAGACGGCCGUGUGGAAGAUGGGUCCGCGCCAAUUUAUUGUGUGUGAUCAUCUUACAGUCACCUUAAAGAGACAUUUCAUUAUCACGGGUGGAUGCAGAACAGACGGACGUGUACACGCAGACACACGCAGGUUCCCGGACACACACGCACCAACGCAUGAAUGAUCCUGCAGCCACCGUAUGGAGAGGUAUCGUGACCGCUGUUGGAUGUAGAACGCAGAUACUGGAGGACGACAAUAAAGAUUAAACGCCUAUACUUA
rnacentral:lncRNA from 1 species